rnacentral:rRNA from 1 species
AUGCUUUUCCUAAAGAUUAAGCCAUGCAUGCCUAAGACUAUGAGGAAGCAAUUCUCUCUGAAUCUGCGAACGGCUCCGCAAACCAGUUGUAAACCAUAGCAGCGUUCCGCCCGGCUUCAGCAAUGGAGCCGGGCAUUAUAUGGAUAACCGUGGUAAUUCUGAGGCUAAUACAUGACAAACAAACCUGCCGGCCGGGGGCAACUCUGGCCAGGCGGGGGACGUGCAAAAUCCCAUUGCUAUAAACAAAACCACGAAUGAAUG